ensembl:snoRNA
AUGCAUCUCUUUGACAGGCCUGAAGCAGUUACUGCUGCUAAGGUUUCCACUACGAAUGCGAGAAGAAAGUGUCCUCCCACUUUCUGUCGGAUUAUAGCAGCCCAGAUUGAAUGGGGGAUUGCAGGG